rnacentral:lncRNA from 1 species
UUUGGCAGUCUGAUGAUCUUCUCAAAAUAAUGAUUUUAAGGAAUAAAAUAGAACAACAAAGGAAAUUCAUCCUAUUGAAAUAAUUGUCAAAAUAUCUUUUAUUUUGUCUAAAUCACAGACCCCAGGUCUCUAUGCUUAGACAGACUAGGUUUUGAAAAAGCUCAUUCCCUGAAGGAACCAUUACCUGUCCUGUGAGACAGUCAUUCUCUGACAACUCUUGCUUUGUAGAUGAGGAAAUGACUCAUAUUUGCGAAGUCAUUGGGUCAUUAAAAUCAUCAUGCAAUUCAGCAAAAAGCAGACCUGCCUCAUGCUCCUGUUGCCUGGGAAGUGUGGCAUGAGUAAGCGUCCAGGUCAUCCUUGCUCCCUCUUCUCCAAAUAACCCCGGGUCCUUUUGUCAAGACUCUUCUUACACAGUCUCGUUGACUGGAAAGGUGCCUGCCUGGUCACAGGUUGGCAUGACUCACCGUGCUACUCAACCCCGGCUCAACACACGUUUCAAGGAAUCAGAUCAGCUCUAUGAUGUCACCCCACUGGGCUUCUGUGGGAGACGGCGAGAUUGUUCAGAGCAGGGCACACAGUGUUUUUAAACAAGCAGGACGUCUGACGUCAGGGGGAGAGAUACGGGGGAUGGAGGAGGGAGAAGCAGGUAUGCGACCUUCCAGGUGGUGUUUGAAGGCACACAUGCUGCACCCGCAAGAAUCUGAGGGAAGUCUGACUUCUGAAAGCAGCCCUCAGAGAAAAAUGGCAGACAGAUCGGGAGGGAAGAAGCCUGCAAAACUCUGAAAGAGAACGUUUAAAUUCACUCCAGGUCUAGAAGAUGAGAAACUCAAGGGUCUGUAGCAAGAAGCUUGUAUUGAUUGUUCUCCUCAGUCCCCCUAAAAUCUAAGCCAAUCCCAUCCCACUACCUUUGGGGUUGUUCAGUUUAGAUUGGGUGUCACAAGCAAACGGCAUGACAAAAAGUGAGAAGAAUAUUUACCGACAGACGCUGCCUGGGGUUAAUAUAUUAGUCAGAGAAUACCAAUAGUAAGAGCAGUUUCUGUAUUAAUCAGUUUGUCCUCAGUGUGAGCAACAGUCUGUUCUGAGAAAGAGAGCAAGGUGGCUCACCAAUUCUUUACGUAAUCACAGCCAAGAUGAAAGGCUUUUAAUUCAAUUGGCUGUGCUGUCUGUUUUUUUCUGAUGGAUGGAGCAGGCACAGUCCGGAUAGAAAGGGGAUGGAAGUGGUAAGGGUCAGUUCGAGAAUUCUCUUGAAAAAAACUGAGGCUAUUUUAUGAAAUGUGAACAUUGAUCUUUAACUUGCCUAUAAAAUGUAGCCUACUGGGUAAUAAUGCAUGUAUAACCCGGAUUGAAUUGCUUGCCAAUUCCGGGAGGGAGGAAAGAAGAAAGGAGGAAGACAAUUUGGAUCAUAUAACUUUAGAAAACUUAGGUGGAGAUUUGUUAUUUAAAUUAAAAAAUAAAAUAAAAUUUAAAUAAAUAAAUACA